UACGAAGGGGGCUAGCGUUGCUCGGAAUGACUGGGCGUAAAGGGCGCGUAGGCGGAUGGCAUAGUCAGAUGUGAAAUUCCCGGGCUUAACCUGGGGACUGCAUUUGAUACGUGUCGUCUUGAGUUCGGAAGAGGGUCGUGGAAUUCCCAGUGUAGAGGUGAAAUGCGUAGAGAUGUGGAGGAAUACCGAUGGCGAAGGCAGCCCCCUGGGCCAAUACUGACGCUCAUGCACGAAAGCGUGGGGAGCAAACAGG
rnacentral:rRNA from 1 species